UAGAGUUUGAUCCUGGCUCAGAUUGAACGCUGGCGGCAGGCCUAACACAUGCAAGUCGAGCGGUAGCAGGAAGUGCUUGCACUUCGCUGACGAGCGGCGGACGGGUGCGUAACACGUAGGAAUCUGCCCGGUAGUGGGGGAUAGCCCGGAGAAAUUCGGAUUAAUACCGCAUACGCCCUAAGGGGGAAAGCAGGGGAUCGGUUCGCCGACCUUGCGCUAUCGGAUGAGCCUGCGUCGGAUUAGCUUGUUGGUGGGGUAAAGGCCUACCAAGGCAACGAUCCGUAGCUGGUCUGAGAGGAUGAUCAGCCACACUGGGACUGAGACACGGCCCAGACUCCUACGGGAGGCAGCAGUGGGGAAUAUUGCACAAUGGGCGAAAGCCUGAUGCAGCCAUGCCGCGUGUGUGAAGAAGGCCCUAGGGUUGUAAAGCACUUUCAGUGGGGAGGAAAGGUUUGCGGUUAAUGCCCGCAAGCUGUGACGUUACCCACAGAAGAAGCACCGGCUAACUCCGUGCCAGCAGCCGCGGUAAUACGGAGGGUGCGAGCGUUAAUCGGAAUUACUGGGCGUAAAGCGUGCGUAGGCGGCUUUUUAAGUUGGAUGUGAAAGCCCCGGGCUCAACCUGGGAACUGCAUCCAAAACUGGAAGGCUUGAGUGCGAGAGAGGAGUGUGGAAUUUUCCUGUGUAGCGGUGAAAUGCCGUAGAUAUAGGGAAGGAACACCCAGUGGCGAAGGCGACACUCUGGCUUGACACUGACGCUGAGGUACGAAAGCGUGGGGAGCAAACAGGAUUAGAUAC
rnacentral:rRNA from 1 species